rnacentral:rRNA from 1 species
UACGAAGGGGGCUAGCGUUGUUCGGAAUUACUGGGCGUAAAGGGCGCGUAGGCGGUACUUCAAGUCAGGCGUGAAAGCCCCGGGCUCAACCUGGGAACCGCGCUUGAGACUGGAGAACUAGAGUUCGGGAGAGGAUGGUGGAAUUCCCAGUGUAGAGGUGAAAUUCGUAGAUAUCGGGAGGAACACCAGUGGCGAAGGCGGCGACCUGGGCCAAUACUGACGCUGAGGUGCGAAAGCGUGGGGAGCAAACAGG